rnacentral:piRNA from 1 species
UGCCCAUUUCAGAGUCCAGUCUGGUGGGA